CAGACUCCUAGGGAGGCAGCAGUGGGGAAUAUUGCACAAUGGGCGCAAGCCUGAUGCAGCGACGCCGCGUGAGGGAUGGAGGCCUUCGGGUUGUGAACCUCUUUCGCCAGUGAAGCAGGCCUGCUCCUGUGUGGGUGGGUUGACGGUAGCUGGAUAAGAAGCGCCGGCUAACUACGUGCCAGCAGCCGCGGUAAUACGUAGGGCGCGAGCGUUGUCCGGAAUUAUUGGGCGUAAAGAGCUCGUAGGCGGCUGGUCGCGUCUGUCGUGAAAUCCUCUGGCUUAACUGGGGGCUUGCGGUGGGUACGGGCCGGCUUGAGUGCGGUAGGGGAGGCUGGAACUCCUGGUGUAGCGGUGGAAUGCGCAGAUAUCAGGAAGAACACCGGUGGCGAAGGCGGGUCUCUGGGCCGUUACUGACGCUGAGGAGCGAAAGCGUGGGGAGCGAACAGGAUUAGAUACCCUGGUAGUCCACGCCGUAAACGUUGGGCACUAGGUGUGGGGGGGCCUUUUCCGGGUUUUCCGCGCCGUAGCUAACGCAUUAAGUGCCCCGCCUGGGGAGUACGGCCGCAAGGCUAAAACUCAAAGGAAUUGACGGGGGCCCGCACAAG
rnacentral:rRNA from 1 species